rnacentral:lncRNA from 1 species
GUAAACCAGUUUUACACACUGUGCUUAUGUUUACAGUGUGAAGAUUGGUUACAUCCUGAAUAACCGGAGGUCUAGGUCCUUGAUCUUCCUCACUGUGUUCAUCUGUGUGGGCAGAGGCACAGAAGGCUGCAUUCUUUGCAAAGAUUUUGAAGAUGAUGAGUAGGAUUCCUUCAGUGUUCAGGAGAAGAAGGAUUGGAUGUUCUCCGAUAGACCAGGAAACCACACAGAUGUCAAAGUGAGGUUAAUGAGGGAGCGGGGAGAACCCUCCCAGGUGAAGAAGAACACACAGAAGACUCCAGGACUGGGGCAGCUGCUUCACACACAGAAGACUCGGGGGCGGCAGAGGAUUCCCACCUCUCUUGGACCUGCCACCUGCGUGACUCUGCCACGCCACAUGGCCACUGGGCCUGCUCCACAAGGGUCAGUUUCUCCCGUGCAGAUGUGCUGGCUGAGCCACGGAAGGAAGCCUUCUGCUGUGGGGGCCACUUGGCUUUGCAGAAACGGGCAUGCAGGAGAGGAGAAGCAGCCGGGCCAGAGUGGGGCCGAGCCCCUGUGA